rfam:Picea glauca, whole genome shotgun sequence.
ACAUGCCUACAACAUAACGUUAAUUCACUGGAUCCCAUUAGAACUCCAUAGUUAAGCGCACUCAGGCUAGAGUAGUACUGGGAUGGGUGACCGCCCGGUAAGUCUUAGUGUUUUACAUGCC